AUGGAGCUGUUAUCACGUGAUGAUUUUGCGUUCGUAUUGGUGACAUUACGGUCCAUAUGGCACGGGAGAUGCAAAGCAAUACACGAAGCUAUUUUUCAGUCCCCCCAGGCGACCCAUGAUUUCAUCACACGGUAUAUGGCUGAGCUCGGCAUAGUGAAGGAAAAGAUGCAGCAAACUACUGUAAGGAGGGUUACCAUUACACAGGUACACACGCGACCUCGUAAGCCACCGCCAGGACACUUUAAAAUUCAUGUGGACGGCGGAGUCCUAGGAACCAGGGGAGGUUCGGCGGCAGCAAUGUGCAGGGAUGAACAUGGGAACUAUAUGGGUAGCUCAGCACUUGUCGUGCAAGGAAUUACAGAUCCACCAACUCUAGAAGCAAUAGCGUGUCGAGAGGCUUUGGCGCUAGCAGAAGACCUGGGAAUCCAAUGUUUUGUGGUGGCCUCCGACUGUCAACAAGUGGUCUCGGACAUCAACGCCGGAGCAAGAGGAACUUAUGGAGCAAUUAUCAGAGAGAUAAACAUUAGAUCAUUGCCUUUUUUUUAUAAUUUUAUUUUUGAGAGUCGUGCAGUUAAUGUAGAAGCACACCGUCUAGCCAAGUUUUCUUUUUCGAGAGGACCGGGACGUCAUGUUUGGCUUGGUGCACCCCAUGACCUCAUAUGUAUCCCACACCAUGUGGACUUUCAUGAAUAA
rnacentral:rRNA from 1 species